AUCGAAUCUUGGCCUUUUGGCUAAGAUCUAAUGUAGUACCUUUUCAUAUUGGUUUAAUAUCUGAUAUGUCCUCCAUCAUAGAAUAAUAUGUUUAAUGGAUUUCUGGAGCAGGGAGAUGGAAUAGGAGCUUGCUCUAUCCAUUUCAUGCAUUGAUGUGAUAUUACAAUAUCUCCAGCAAUGGUGCACCCCCU
rnacentral:snRNA from 2 species